rnacentral:rRNA from 1 species
GGUGAACGCUGGCGGCGUGCUUAAGACAUGCAAGUCGAACGGCAGUCUUCGGACAGUAGUGGCGCACGGGUGAGUAACGCGUAACUGACCUACCCCAAAGUCGCGGAUAACGAUUCGAAAGAAUCGCUAAUACGUGAUGUGCUGUCAGAUUGUGUUCUGCCAGUAAAGAUUGAUUGCUUUGGGAUGGGGUUGCGUUCCAUCAGCUAGUUGGUGGGGUAAAGGCCCACCAAGGCGACGACGGAUAGCCGGCCUGAGAAGGUGGCCGGCCACAGGGGCACUGAGACACGGGUCCCACUCCUACGGGAGGCAGCAGUUAGGAAUCUUCCACAAUGGGCGAAAGCCUGAUGGAGCGACGCCGCGUGAGGGAUGAAGGUCUUCGGAUCGUAAACCUCUGAAUCAGGGACGAAAGACACUUCGGUGGGAUGACGGUACCUGAGUAAUAGCACCGGCUAACUCCGUGCCAGCAGCCGCAGUAAAAC